AUUGAACGCUGGCGGCAUGCCUUACACAUGCAAGUCGAACGGUAACAGGUUAAGCUGACGAGUGGCGAACGGGUGAGUAAUGUAUCGGAACGUGCCCAGUCGUGGGGGAUAACUACUCGAAAGAGUGGCUAAUACCGCAUACGACCUGAGGGAGAAAGCUGGGGACCGUAAGGCCCCGCGCGAUUGGAGCGGCCGAUAUCAGAUUAGCUAGUUGGUGGGGUAAAGGCCCACCAAUGCGACUAUCUGUAGCUGGUCUGAGAGGACGCCCAGCCACACUGGGACUGAGACACGGCCCAGGCUCCUACGGGAGGCAGCAGUGGGGAAUUUUGGACAAUGGACGCAAGUCUAAUCCAGCCAUGCCGCGUGUGUGAAGAAGGCCUUCGGGUUGUAAAGCACUUUCAGUAGGGAGGAAGGGUGUUGUGUUAAUAGCACAGCAUUUUGACGUUACCUACAGAAGAAGCACCGGCUAACUCUGUGCCAGCAGCCGCCGUAAGAC
rnacentral:rRNA from 1 species